rnacentral:rRNA from 1 species
GUCGAACGCUUCUUUCCUCCCGAGUGCUUGCACUCAAUUGGAAAGAGGAGUGGCGGACGGGUGAGUAACACGUGGGUAACCUACCCAUCAGAGGGGGAUAACACUUGGAAACAGGUGCUAAUACCGCAUAACAGUUUAUGCCGCAUGGCAUAAGAGUGAAAGGCGCUUUCGGGUGUCGCUGAUGGAUGGACCCGCGGUGCAUUAGCUAGUUGGUGAGGUAACGGCUCACCAAGGCCACGAUGCAUAGCCGACCUGAGAGGGUGAUCGGCCACACUGGGACUGAGACACGGCCCAGACUCCUACGGGAGGCAGCAGUAGGGAAUCUUCGGCAAUGGACGAAAGUCUGACCGAGCAACGCCGCGUGAGUGAAGAAGGUUUUCGGAUCGUAAAACUCUGUUGUUAGAGAAGAACAAGGACGUUAGUAACUGAACGUCCCCUGACGGUAUCUAACCAGAAAGCCACGGCUAACUACGUGCCAGCAGCCGCGGUAAUACGUAGGUGGCAAGCGUUGUCCGGAUUUAUUGGGCGUAAAGCGAGCGCAGGCGGUUUCUUAAGUCUGAUGUGAAAGCCCCCGGCUCAACCGGGGAGGGUCAUUGGAAACUGGGAGACUUGAGUGCAGAAGAGGAGAGUGGAAUUCCAUGUGUAGCGGUGAAAUGCGUAGAUAUAUGGAGGAACACCAGUGGCGAAGGCGGCUCUCUGGUCUGUAACUGACGCUGAGGCUCGAAAGCGUGGGGAGCAAACAGGAUUAGAUACCCU